rnacentral:lncRNA from 1 species
CCUAAAACCUUCCCCCCAAAAUAUUACUUCACAUAACACCUUCUCCCUAAAUAAAACUCCCCCACAUAACAUCCCAUUCCACACACUCUAUAAAACCAUUCUCUACCCAAUGAAAAGAGAGGGAGGAAAAAAAGAACAAAAGGGCUGCGCAUAAGAAGAUAACGAGGAGAAGGAACGAAAAAAAAAGAAAAAGCUAAAAAAAGGGUCUAACAAUGGCAGACUACCAAAAAUCAUAUGAGACCCCACCCUGAAAUCCCGUCUCCUUCGACUCCCUUCCCCACCGAACUGCUUCGCCUUCAACAAAGAACGACCACCCUUUCCCCUUUGAAUUUCAUUUUCUUCAGGAUCUCCUCUUCCCUGUCAUUCGUCUUCUUUGACAGACAUAGAGAACUAGCCACCCUUUAAACCCAGAAAAAUAGCUCCAAAGAGCAGCACAGUCAGUCACAAAAAUUACUGAAAAUCAGUCCGAAAAUCCCAAAAAUAAAACCUCAAAACAACCCUGUUCACAGCGAAAAUCAGAGGCAGAACCAUCCACAAAACAACCCCGAAAUUGCUCCGAAUUAACAUAGAAAAACAGUAGCUAUUUUCUAGCCCGAACCUAGUUGAAACCACCCUUGAUCCACUUGAAAACAUCUUUCUUUUCCACAUAGUGCAACAAUGCUUUUUCAAGUCGAGGGAGUAGAGGGGGCCGCCACUGGUUUCCGGUUGUAGUCAUCGUUCUUGUUUUGAUUAUUGAGCUGCAGAAAAUCUGAAAUAGAAGGUCCAUAUUUUAUUCCUCCCUUCUUUUCUUUAUCAUGUUGUAUGUUCGUAUUUGUUUACUUUGUUUAUCAGCCACGUGAAUCUUCUAUUCUUGAUAUGAUAAUUGUGAUUGCUUUCUUGCAUUUUAUUAUUAACUUAGUACCAUAAAUCAGUAGAUUUAGUCCAAUAGAUUUAUGUAGAAAGUAUUUGCUUCAUGUGGUGUGAUGCAAUUUUGUUGAAUUCGCAUAAAUUGGAUAUCGUGGAAAUCACUAGUGUUUAACUAAUGAGGAUUUGGACUUAAUUGAAAAGAGAACGUUUUAAUAUGGAAUUAUGGAUUUUGAGUUGUAAAAUUGGGCCAAGGUUUUGGAAAUAGUUGGAUCAUAUUUUCCUGUUAGUAUGUUUAGGUUACUCUUAUUUUGAAUUAGUAGCUUCUCUCAUUUUUCCUACUUUAUUAGUUAUAAACUUGAUCUCAUAUUAAUUCCUUAAUUGAUAGUAAUGGUCAGUAGACGAUAAUAAAUGGAUAGCGGGAUCUUAAUCAUUAAUUUGGAAUUUGUCCUUUCCCAUACACCAUAAGUCAUUCAAUCCCUCCAAAAUACUUUAAUUCAUCCACAAAUUGUAGUCUCAUAAUAAUCUCAAAGUAGUUUAGAAAAAUAAUACGAUGCGUAGUUGCUUUAGGCGCACUAAUUAAAAUUACCUUCCUAAACUCGGGUGCGCAUUGAUGCGACCCAAAUCUAAAUCUCGACGAAGUCGAAAUGGGUUGACAAUCACGGGUGCAUCGAUUGCGACGUGGUUCGAAACGCGUUUUUACGACGUCGCAAUUCUUUUGAAAUAAAUAAUAAUAAAAAGUGGUUUACAAAUAAAAGGCACAUAAGCUAGCAUGUAUUAAGAUUAGAUAAAAUUAAAUACAACAGUUAAGCGACCGUGCUAGAACCAUGGAACUCGGGAAUGCCUAACACAUUCUCCCAGGUUAACAGAAUUCCUUACUCGGAUUUCUGGUUCGCAGACCAUUAACAGAGUCAUAUGUUUCCUCGGUUCGGGAUACAACCGGUGACUUGGGACACCAUUAAUCUCUCAAGUGGCGACUCUGAAUAAUUAAUAAUCAAAUCCUGUUCUGAUUGUCCUUCAAUUGGAAAAACUCCUUUACGCCUCUUCGGGGGUGUAAGUGAAAAAGGAGGUGUGACAAGCUGCACCUUUGCCCCUACCGCGACCUCUACCGCAACCUCGGCCUCUCGCGACCCUGGCCGGUUGUACUGGUGGUUGUCCAUCCUGACCAGUAGUACGUGUCCUCACCAUCUGUGAGAGAAUAGAAUAACAAAAGUUUAGUUACCAGAAUCAAUAGAUUCGCACAACAAAAAUUCAAGAAUGUGAAGUUUCCUAAGGGUUCGGCAACUUCUCGAAGAUUAGUACAGACGUCUCCAUACCGAUCCGCAAGACUCUACCAAACCUGCUCAUGACUCGUAAGAUCUAUGUAACAUAGGCUCUAAUACCAACUUGUCACGAUCCAAAUCCUAACUGGCGUGAUGGAACCUAUCGAUGGUACCAUGCAACCAGACUUUUUCAAAAUACUUCCAAUACUACACAGAAGAUAAAUCAAAAGUUUUUAAAUAAAUAGAGUUUUCGUAAAAUAAGGGUUAAACCCAAAAUACAAGUGAGGAAAAUAGCCCCAAAAUCGGGGUUCCACUAAGUCAUGAACAUCUAAACAUAACCGGUCAAGAAAUAAAAUGACUAUCAUAGUCUGAAUCCAAAUACAAUGAAAGAAAGAUACAUAAGAAGAAAACAAGGUCGGCGAACACCAGGCAGCUACCUCGUUAUCUCCAACGGUCAGCUACGAGAACUAUCAACACCUUCCACGUCCCGAAACUCCUAGAUUUGCACAUAAAGUGUAGUCUGUAGCGUGAGUACAACCAACUCAGUAAGUAACUGUCGCGCCCCCUUUUUCUCGCAAAAUCGGGUUUAUGACAUUUGGGAUGACAACUCGUUCCUUUUCGGGAAUUGGGUUUGAAUUGAAGAGUCGUCACCUAAUGAUUCCCGGCCAAGCUAUUAUUGUGACUUUAAGUACAAAUAACACAUAAGCAAAUAAAGACUUCAAAUAAGAGGGGAUUUAAACGUAAUGGUUACAAAUAAACCAAAAGUAAGAAAAAGGAACUAAAAGGAGUAGAUUUUCUUAAAAGAAAUGGUUUUAAAAAAAAAGAUUUAAAGAAACAAAGAAAACAAAGGGAAGGGGGAGUCCUAGGUUUAUUAAUAAUAUGGAUCACCCCACACAACACCCGGUAAUCACUCCUCAAUCACGGUAUACACGAGAUGUUACUGCGUGGUCAUCAUAUCCGUAUCUACCCUUCCCUACCCCGUUGAAGUAUUAAAGUGUGAAAUGGUAUCGUUUACUUAUUGCAUGCUAUUACCCGCCCCAAUUCUAUCAGUCCCGGAGGCAUUUAGGACUACUAAUCCUAAAGGGGAGGUAUGUUGGGCUUAUUUAUGGUUUCAAAGGAAACAAUACUAAAGCGGCAAAUAAAAACAUAUAUAUAGCAAGUAUGGGGAAGCACAUAAACAAAUAAGGCUCAAACAGACCUCCUUAAAUCAAAGAAAAGUAUAUAGUUUAGCAUGUCUUACAUGUACUGAUUAGGGUCUGAUUAAACUUAAAAGUUGGGGCAGACUGAUUUAUUGCAUAUUUCAGAUAAGAAGCCCGAGUCAGGCCUGCCAGCUGGUUGUAGCAUAUAAAAAUCUGAUUUAGUUUAUAAACUUUCACCCUAUUGCUUGCCUAAGUGUUAGACAAAGACCUAUAGGCAUGAUAUCUAUUGAUUUCAGAAAAGAUGAAGUAUACUGAUUUUAGAAAAGGUUAUCAGUUAUUUAGGAAAGACGAGUUUUUGACAAAAGAUCAUAAAUUCUAACAGACGCUAGAUAAUGAUUUUAGAUUUGUAGGAGAUCUGAGANNNNNNNNNNNNNNNNNNNNNNNNNUGAAUGCAGAAUUUCAGAAACCUAUAGGCAGGAUAUCCAUAUGGGUGCAGAAUUCCUUAUAGGCAUAGUAUCUAAAUAUGAAAGUGCAGAAUUCUUAUAGGAAGGAUAUCUAUGUGAUAUGCAGAAAUCAGAAAUUCCAUAUGAGCAGGAUAUCUACCCCUUUUACAUACAUAGUUAUUCCCCCCCCCCCUUUUCACUAGCCAUCUCCAAGAGUUUAGUAUAAAGUAAUUACAUCCCAAAAAGUAAAGCAAGGAAAACACAUCAGAAAUUAGAAAGUACAACCAAAGAGAGCCUAAUUCAGACUUCCUAUAUGAAGUAUGAAGUAAACCAACUCCAAGAGUUCAUAUUUCAAAGCCCUUCUCCCAUUUGGGGUGUGUCAGAGUUCCCUAAGAGUUUCAUAAGAACUCCGGAUAGUGCUUACACCCAAAUGUAUCAUAGAUUAAGCCAUAGUGCGGUGUGGAAGGGUCAGCCCUCAGGUGUCCAAGUUCAGAGAGAACUCAAGGUCCCAAGGCAAGGCUCACAAGAGGGGGGCAAAACUUAGAGACUAGGAGAGAGUGCAAGUGCAGAAUUCUGAAAGGGGAAGGGAAACAGUACACAUAGGGAUAUAGGGAAUGGGGGAUUGUAGGAGCACAAGAAGAGCAGGCUGAUGGGCAUACCCAACAAUGGGAUAUGUUGGCACACCCUCUAGCCUGUUUAGAGGUUAAGACCACAUUGGUUCAAACUCAGUUCAUGGACAACAACUCAUAUUGCCAUACCCUAAGCCAUAAUUUACAAACACAUAGGGGUAAUGGGAUAGGGAGCAAAGAUUCACAACAGAAACAAACAGUAUAACAUAGGCAUACUAAGCUAAAUGUUGAACUCUACAGAAAAUAAUAAAGUAGAUAUGGAUACAACGACUGUAAGUAAACACAGUGGGGUGAUACUGAAACUUAAAUCAGGACAUACCAGUUUCAAAGAAAUAAGUAGAAAAAGCAGUAGACUUGUAAAAGCCAAAGUGCAAACAGGAAGACAAAAUACUAUAAGUGUGAGUUCAGAAGAGAUUGUGAAUUUGUGAAGUCUGAAGUGUGUGUUUGUGAAAAAGGGUCGUGCCUUUUAUAGUGUAGAAAGCAGACGGAAAUAAGGUAAGAAAAUAGUUUGAAAACUGAUUGUCAAUAAAUUACACAAGGCUUCCCUUAAUUAAGGGAUUCAGAUUCAAAACGAGUAAAACCAUUUAAGGAAAGGAAUUGAAUAAACACUUUGUGUAAAACAUGUAAUUAAGGGCAAAUACAUAAAGGUUAUUUAAGGACAGGGUUUUGACAGUACACGGUUUGGUGCAAAUAAGGUAAGGGAGUCAAUUAACAUCCAGUAAAUCACAAGGUCUAAGGUUUGGUAUGAAUGAACCAAGUCAAAAAAUAUGAAGUAGGGUUUUACUUAAGUCGGGUAAUAGAGGAAAUCAGUAAAUGAUGGAAAGAAAUCAAUCAAGCUAUAUUCAGAAGGAAGUUUGCACUAAUUGCCAAAUUUGAAAACCAUUUAGAGGAAAAUUCAUCAUAUAUAAGGAGCAUGUGAGCAUGAGAGAAGACUAUCGUGUAAAUCAGUAGAAAAAAUCUAGUGUAGAAGAGUUCAGCAAAAAGUUCAGCAUUGCAUGAAAACAAAGAUGUCCGAACUCAGCUCAGAGACUCAAAGUCAGUCUGAAGGAGUUAAGGGUUCUGAAAAAAUAAAACCCUAGUUCAAUAAAACCUCGGCAGAACUCCCAAAUUCUAGGGUUUACACCUUGAAUCAAGUACAGAGAUGAGAAGACAAGCAGUCGAAUCGAAACAUGUUUAGAGGUUUCAGAAAAGAACAGAAACUUCUUACAUGUUUCUUCCAGCAACAGAACUCAUGAAUAGCAUGUAAAUACAGUAGAGGGGUUCAAGGCAAACAGAGUAAAGAAACUAAUUCGAAACAUGAUGAGAAAAGACUGAUAAGAAUAAUAAAAGAGAGCAUGCUUAAGAAGAUCCUUUUAAAAGAAACUUAAGUAAGGUUCAAUAGAAGAAAAAUAGUAAGAACAUUUAAGAACACGGUAGAAGAAUAUAGUAGGCGAAACAUACCAGAACAUAGUAGAAGAAAAUAGCAGGACGUAGUAGAAAAGCAUAAAAGAACAUUGUAUAGAAAGCACAGUAGAAGAACAUACAAGAACGGAAUAUAGAAAGCAUAGUAAAAGAACAUGUAUGGUAGAAGGAAAACAUAGAACACACUAGAGGCAAAUACACACAAAAGAAAAGGAAAAGAAAGUCAGAGAAACAUUUAAGCAUUUUCAGAAAACCCUAAAUCGUAAAAGAAAGACUUUGAAAAGUAAUUUUCGAAAGAAAAGUUAGGGAGAUCAUUUGAAAAUUCAAAGAGAGCAUAGAUACACAACGGAUCUAAAGAGAUCGGAGAAAACCUCGAAGGGUUAGGGUUUCAGAAGAACCCUAGAAAUGAGAAGGGCAUUGAAAAGGUCACCGAUCUAAGUCAGAGUGGUCAGAACUAGGCUCAAAACACCAUGGUUGAGCAAGGCCGGCGAUGACUCUGGAACCUUGAAUUGACAGAGGUCUGGGUGCGAACCUUCAAGUCCUGGCCUCGAAUCUUCAGGUAUCAGGUGUGUAAGAGCAAGGGGAGGUGAGUAUAGGGCCCUCACAACUUGGGAAGCCAUGGUUUCCGGUGGGUUUUGAGGUGGAAGACGAUGAGAGGCGGCUAGGGUUAGGGAAGGUUCGAGAGAGUUUGAGAGAAUGGGGAGGGUUUAGAGGCGGCUACCAGUGACAAAUGGUUAGGGUUGGGGGUGUUGGUAAGUUAAAAAGGAAAGGGAGAACGUGAGUUGUUGAUCUGUU